CUCCCACGAGCGUGGGAGUUAGGGUUGGGGUGUCCGGCUCGCAGGUUUACCCUGGCACAAUCGCGUAGGUUGAAUGACGUCGUCGAUCGAGGGCGGGCUGUUCCCGCCCGCACACGCAAACGUACGCGUGUUGCGGCCGGCCGGGCGCGCGCAGGGCUCUCCUCACCCAUAAUGUGGCAACAAUGUACUUAGGUGUUUGUGUCUAUAUGUUGUUAACCGCGCGGAAAAUGCGGUUGCGCGGUUUAGUUCGAGUUUCGCUCGCCGGGGACUUUGGCGCCUACGAGACAUUAAUACGACUAUAGCAUCUACACUCGUCGGAAGACAAUGCACACCAUUGUUCAGCUUACAUUAUAUGGAGGCAGAUCUAUCUAUCGGCUCACUGCAUGGCUCGAAAUGUCACCUUGGACCCAUCCGGAACGUCAGCUUUUGAGUGGGAACCUCACCGGGCAGAAUUUCAUCGUAAGUCAAGAAGAAUCAAGAGUAUUGCUCGGUUCUAAUACCAGUUGCAUGCAACCUCAUGACUCGCCGUCACAUCAACCUUGCUGGCCCUCAGACGAAGACUACCCGACCAAGUUGAUGCCUGAGUCCAUGAUAUAUAUGCAGACAAUUACAGCACAUGUAUAUAUCUUAUGGAAGAGGAAAGACUUUCAUAAGUCCACAGUGAGAAGGUGAGCUUCCUCUUCCAUCCAAGCUAUAAGUUUUACCAACCAUUGAAUGUAUGCUUCCCUCCAUCUGCGAUCCAUCAACAAAGACUAACAGCAAAGAGAUGAUCCAGUGAUGCGCUGCUAAUUUCAUCACCAACUCCACUACCACCGACACCAACUACUUAUGGAAACGGUGUCAUCGCCGUGCAAGAACCACCUGGGAAGACCAGCGGCCAAGUGAUUGGAGAAGGGAGUGACUUCAUAAGUCACUAGUGAGGAGAUAAGCUUCCUCUGCCACCCUUAGCUACAGGGUGUCCUUGGGCAAGGCAUAGCACCUGUUUAGCCUCCCGUGCGAGGGUUACGGUGAAGAUGUCUAAUGUAGUGGAGAUGUGCAAGUGACUGAACACAGCAUUGAAGAACAAAGGGAAGAACAAACAUAGCUAAAGGAGUGCCAUGCAAGGAUAAUCCAUGCAUCGAAGAAGAUAAUUGGAUAAGAGGAGGGAUAAUUAGUGCCAGUGUGUUUAGUCAUGAGGCUGGAGCAAGAUGUCUUUUCCUCCAUUCAAACACCAUGCAUGCUUAUCAUUUGGACCAGCAAUACAAAAACAAGGAACCAGGAAGGAACCGGAACAACAAACCGGAACAACGAACCAGGAUCCAGGACAAGGAAACAGAAGGAACUCACUUCUGUUGAGAAGCUGCGUAACACUGCCACACCCACGGAUCAGCACACACCCGCAAUGAGCCACCAAUUCGUGUAAAAGGACAUUUGUGCAGACGUAGACACAUCAUCAAGCUGACGGAAGGCGUGAGUGCAUGAAAUCUUUGAAGCCAAGACUGUUGUUGCAACGAUGCACUACGUUAUCGUGAAACUGGCUUGUAAUGUAUCUGUGUGUUGUUAAUUGAAUCGAGAGUAGUUUUUUAUCGAGUUUGUAUUUAGACGUCAGCAGUUCAAUGUUCGACGUAUUCGACUAGCAUUUUUAAUGACAAGGAUAAGAAAUUUGUUGCUCAUAGCGGUGAUCGUGGCAGUUAGUACCGUUUUCAUUUAAUCGUUGAUCCAAAUAUACCUUAACUUACUACCAUUUAACCUAAUUUAUUAACGUUAAAGCCAAUUCACUCGCUUCAAAUUCAACUCUAUUUCGUCAUAAGUACGUAAUUUGCAGCAAAAAUAACGUCACGUAAAUUGUACAGUUUCAAAGUUGUAAUUUGCAGCAAAUUGAUUCGUUUCAUGUUCAUUUUAUUGUGUACUGUAUUUGCAAAUGUAUGUUGCGAGAAAAAUAAAUUUUGUAGGUUGUUGUAGGUUUUUCAGAGGGACGAUUGAAGAGUGACUGCGAGAGUGACAGCGAGAAUGACCGUGUGAGUAAAAGAGGGGUA
rnacentral:lncRNA from 1 species